AGCAGCCGCGGUAAUUCCAGCUCCAAUAGCGUAUAUUAAAGUUGUUGCAGUUAAAAAGCUCGUAGUUGAAUUUCGGGGUUAGUAGGUUGGUCAUGCCUCUGGUAUGCACUGGCCUCACUGAUUCCUCCUUCCUGAUGAGCCGUAAUGCCAUUAAUUUGGUGUUGCGGGGAAUUUGGACUGUUACUUUGAAAAAUUAGAGUGUUUAAAGCAAGCUAACGCUUGAAUACAUUAGCAUGGAAUAAUGAAAUAGGACGUUCGAUCCUAUUUUGUUGGUUUCUAGGAUUGACGUAAUGAUUAAUAGGGAUAGUUGGGGGCAUUAGUAUUCAAUUGUCAGAGGUGAAAUUCUUGGAUUUAUUGAAGACUAACUACUGCGAAAGCAUUUGCCAAGGAUGUUUUCAUUAAUCAAGAACGAAAAGUUAGGGGAUCGAAGACGAUCAGAUACCGUCGUAGUCUAACCAUAGAACUAUGCCGACUAGGGAUCGGAUGAUGUUAAUUUUAAUGACUCAUUC
rnacentral:rRNA from 1 species